UAACAUUGCAUUGUUUUGUCCAUUGACAUGGGACUGUCGAUUAGGUUUAAUCCAUGAAGUGUCAUUUGUAUAUGAUUUUGUAUCGAGAUUCAGAUGGAUAAAUACUUUUUAAACACAGGGCAAGCAAGACAAAAAGAAUAAUGAGUCGAGUAAAAAACCUAAAACGUAAAAGGAGGAUAAGGAGCAUUAAAAAAAAAUUCGGAAGCGAAAAUUUCAGACAGCGUGAAUAUCAGAUUAAUAUAAAAAAAC
rnacentral:lncRNA from 1 species